GGAGGGUGCUAGCGUUAAUCGGGAAUUACUGGGGCGUAAAGGGCGCGUAGGCGGAUAUAUAAGUCAGAUGUGAAAGACCUGGGGGCUUACCCUGGGGGGGUUGCAUUUGAUACUGUAUGUCUAGAGUUGAGUAGAGGGAAGUGGAAUUUCCGGUGUAGCGGUGAAAUGCAUAGAUAUCGGAAGGAACACCAGUGGCGAAGGCGACUUCCUGGACUCAAACUGACGCUGAGGCGCGAAAGCGUGGGGAGCGAACAGGAUUAGAUACCCUGGUAGUCCACGCCGUAAACGAUGAGAACUAGCUGUUGGUAGGCUUGACCUGUCAGUGGCGCAGCUAACGCAUUAAGUUCUCCGCCUGGGGAGUACGGCCGCAAGGCUA
rnacentral:rRNA from 1 species